rnacentral:misc_RNA from 1 species
CCGAGUCUCCGACUCCCAAACCACUGUGAACCUACCUUCCUGCGCUCCGCCGGGUCGGCCCCGGGGGGCCGGUAGCCGCUAGGCACCCGGCGGAGCCCCAGAAAAAUUCUCUCAGCGAGCUUCUGAGUCUGUCUCUAAAAGAGUCA